rnacentral:lncRNA from 1 species
UAGAGCUUAAAGUAUAAUAGAUGAAUGUUAAAAUAUUAUGUCCAUUCAAUAUCCUGUCUAUUCAAGAACCAGAGGUAAUACAUGUUGGGUUUUCAUAAGGGCCAGGUGAGGCCUGGGGCUAAAAGGCUGCUGGAGUCCCCUAAGGGGUCCUGAUGAGUUUCCCAGCAUCCAGUGAGCAGCUCUGCAGUGACAGGUGCUUCCUCAUGUUUCAUCCUGAACAUUCUCCUUCAAACUACUUCAUCUCUGCAGGAUAAUUCCACAGCCUCAAGCCAGGAAACUCCUCAGCAGCCCAGUUCCAGUGACUGAGUCCACUUUGAAGACACCUUGUUGUGGGCUGCCCAUACUGUGAGGCCUGUACCCAACCAGCCCACUGGCCUUCAGUUCCAUCAGGACUGGAAGCACCUGCACACAGAGCUGAAAAGCAAACCUUUUUUAUGACUGGACGUGAACAUGUGCCGUGAUAGCUAUGGUUCGGAGGUGGGCAGGCUGCUUAUGAAUGAUUUAGCAUCAUCCCUUUGGUGCUGUCCUCACGGUAGUGAGUUAGUUCUCAUGAGAACUGGCUGUUUAAAAGUGUGUAGCACCUCCCCCCUCACUCUCUUCCUUCUGCUCUGGCCAUGUAAGAUGUGCCUUGCUUCCCUUUUGCCUUCCGCCAUGAUUGAAAGUUUCCUGAGACCUCCCCAGAAGCAGAGGCCAGCAUCAUGCUUCCUGUGCAGCCUGCAGAACCGUAAGCCAAUUAAGCCUUUAUUCUUUAGGAAUUACCCAGUUUCAGGUAUUUAUUUAUAGCAGUGCGAGAAUGGACUAAUACAGGCAUAUACUCAAUAAUGAUUUUGCUGGGUCAAACAGUAGUUCUGAGUUCUUUGAGAAAUCUCCAACUGCUUUCUACAGUGGCUGAACUAAUUUACAUUCCCACCAGAAGUAUAUAAGCAUUCCCUUUUCUCCACAAUCUUGCCAGCAUCUGUAAUUUUCUGACUUUAAUAAUAGACAUUCUGAUUGGGGUGGGAUAUGACACCUCAUUGUAGUUUUGAUUUGCAUUUCUCUAAUGAUUAGUGAUGUUCAGCAUUUUUCAUGUUUGGCUGUGCAUAUGUCGUCUUUUGAGAAAUGUCAUCUUGAGAAAUGUCUGUUCAUGUCCUUUACCCGUUUUAAGAAGGUUGCUUGUUUUUUGCUUGCUGAUUUAAGAUUCCC